AAGUCGUAACAAGGUUUCCGUAGGUGAACCUGCGGAAGGAUCAUUAAUGAAUAACUUUGGCGUGGUCGUAGCUGGCUCUUAGGAGCAUGUGCACACCCGUCAUCUUUAUCUUUCCACCUGUGCACACAAUGUAGAUCUGGAUAACUCUCGCUCUUCGGAGCGGAAACAAGGAUUGCUGCGUCGCAAGGCCAGCUCUCUUUGAAUUUCCAGGUCUAUGUCAUUACAAACCCCAAUUGAAUGAUGAAGAAUGUAGUCAAUGGGCUCUAAGCCUAUAAAACACAAUACAACUUUCAGCAACGGAUCUCUUGGCUCUC
rnacentral:misc_RNA from 1 species